rnacentral:lncRNA from 1 species
CCCCAAACAUAUGGUGUAUUACCACACCCUCUUUUUAUACUUUCAUACCACUCCAUUCAACCAUCCUAUAACAUGACCCAUAGCCUCACAACAACAAUACCUAUAAAACAACCCAUAAACAAACACAAAAUUCAUGAACCGCUAGAAUAACUCUCCAAGUUCACCUUAUUACGCCCUUCCUCGUCUCUGGGUGCAUAGGUAUUACGCCCUUCCUCGUCUCUGGGUGCAUAGGUAUUCACCGUAAAUCUUUCCUCAUUUGAACCUCUCCCUUCACUUUUAAGGCUAUGCCAUCCUAAGGUGCUGUUAAAG